ACUAACCUUGGGACGAGGCUAAUCCCCUCCAUUUUCUCUUCCUUGCCUGAAGCAUGGACCUUCAUAUUUGGUGUUUUACUUUGCCUAACUACAUCUGACUCAUUAUAUGGGGUCAAUUUUAGGUUCAUUCUGGAUUUGUCAGGAUUAUUUUUCAUUCUCCUGCCAGAAGAGAACACAACUUUCUAAAACCUCUGCGGUAUACUAGAGCACAGCACUAAGCCCAUGUACUUCACACCACAAAAGAAGAAGGAAAGCCUCUUUCCAGCCUCAUGCUGGUGUGCUCCAGCAACCCAGUGCCUCUAUGUAAGGGCCAGUUUUCCCAUACAAGCUCUUCAAAGGAAGCUAUGUAGUCUGCAGAUUGCAUCAGGUCCUCCGAUGCGGGCUGAGAAGUUGUGCAGAAAUUGCACUCAUAGUUUUUGAACUACGGGCACUUGGGUGCUUGAAAACAAAUGUUCUCUCCCUCCUGCUCCCAGCACUGCCAACAUCAGCUCAGAGAGCAGCCGGGCACCCGGCAAGGACAGGAUGGCAGCCAUACAUCUGCCUCAGCCUCCUGUUUACCUCCAGUAGAUUUUCUGGCAUAUUGGUAACAGAUUUUAUCAUUUAAUUGAAUCAGUCACUGUCAAUUUCUGUUUACGCUGCCGGUAGGAUCAUCACACACUUCACAAAAUUCAGGAUCCAUCUAGAAACAAACCAAAGCACAGAACCAACCCCCCCUCUCAUGCCGCAGGGCUCCAGGCUUCCAUUCUGCUCGCCCUCUUGCACAGCAGGAACGUCCCAGUGCCUGACACAUGGAAAAGUCUCGUUGGCUUGCUCUACUUUGUUCAGGACAGAUACUUUACUGAAGAGACGGGAAAGAGAAGUAGAAACUAUAGAGCAACAAAAUUGCUGUCAUUAGCACUCCUGAGUGAGAACGGCACCUCACAGAAAUAAUAUGGAAAGGAGAUGCUUAUUAUGAGAAAAAAUACAUCCAUAGAAAACCCAAUUUUCCAGUACAUGGCAGUUCUGUUGUAAAAUUUCCGAGGAGACUUCAUCUGCUCAGCUCAAGUUCUUCUACAGGUUUCUUAAUGCCUCUGACACGUCACUUCAUUUCUCUAUCCCAGAGGCAUAUUUGAAAAUAGGAAAGGACACCCAUUUGCCAUUGUCUGCAUCUUUCUUGGACUGUCCCAGAGCUUUCUUAAAGUGUUUCUCUCUUUUGAAACUAAAGGAUGGCUAUUCCAGCUUUAUCAUUCAAAACCUGUUAGAGCAGUCUGCUGGUUGAAACACACGGUCACCCAAGGGACUGCAGCACCACUACCACCCGAUGGGGACCAGUACAUUCAUUCCAAUGAAAUUAAGCUUUGGUAAAGAAAUCCAACAAAGUGCUCCAACCCUAGACCUCAAUAGUUCUGCCAAGUGGCAAUUUCUUGGAGUGUUUCAUGACUGCUAAUGAAUCUACAUUCACAAGCAGUGAGCAUGAACAGUGUUAUCCCCAGUCUGACCCGAUGAUUCCAGAUAAAUCUAAGAAGAACACUGACAGAAUAUCUGGCAGAUGCUUUUGUAUGAAACCACAUGCCUACCGAAAAUCUCAGCUCUGCUCUGGGUGAAGUCAAAUGGGACAGACUGGAACUGUCCCGAGACAGCAGAGGGCAACAACCUUACUGCUCAGGAAAGAAAGGCAGCAAGACAAAACUUCACCAGUAGUGAAAUAGACAUCAUUAAUAUGAAGCGGAUUUGACAGGAGUUACGGUAGACUGAUUCAACAUUAGCAGAUUUUUUCCUGGCUUCCUUUAGAGUGAUAGCUCCAAUAACAUUGCAGAAUGAGCAGGAAAAAAUAAAGAAUAACAACACCAAGGAAAAACUCUGCUGGGGUUUAAGCUCAAGAGCUUCUUUUUUUGUAAGUCAGUUAUAUCUAGUUUUUCAGUGCCUUGGAACACUAUAAAAUAAUAAAAUUUCUUUAAUCUACAAGUUAAAUAAAUAGAUACAGCCAUCUCAGCCCCAACCUGUAGGAUCACCAUAGGUGAGUGUCUUGCUUGAACAGCGAGUGGUAUUUUUAAAGGCAACAAGACCAAUAAUAUAUGCAGACUGGUUCAAAAGAUAUGCAAUUAUAAACAUUUCCUGCAGAGCACAUAAGGUCUGCAGGUUCGUAAGUGCCUUUUAGCUUCUAUAUUUUAAUCACUGGUUUUGAAAUAGCCUGAAAUAAACCUAUGUCC
rnacentral:lncRNA from 7 species